UGGGGAAUCUUGGACAAUGGGCGCAAGCCUGAUCCAGCCAUGCCGCGUGAGUGACGAAGGCCUUAGGGUUGUAAAGCUCUUUUGGCGGGGACGAUAAUGACGGUACCCGCAGAAUAAGUCCCGGCUAACUUCGUG
rnacentral:rRNA from 1 species